CAGUCGCCGCGGUAAUACGAAGGGUGCAAGCGUUAAUCGGAAUUACUGGGCGUAAAGCGUGCGUAGGCGGUUUGUUAAGUCUGCUGUGAAAUCCCCGGGCUCAACCUGGGAAUGGCAGUGGAUACUGGCAAGCUAGAGUGUGUCAGAGGAUGGUGGAAUUCCCGGUGUAGCGGUGAAAUGCGUAGAGAUCGGGAGGAACAUCAGUGGCGAAGGCGGCCAUCUGGGACAACACUGACGCUGAGGCACGAAAGCGUGGGGAGCAAACAGGAUUAGAUACCCCAGUAGUCCCUGUCUCUUAUAU
rnacentral:rRNA from 1 species